rnacentral:rRNA from 1 species
UACGGGGGGAGCAAGCGUUGUUCGGAUUUACUGGGCGUAAAGGGCGCGUAGGCGGCCAGCGCAAGUCAGUUGUGAAAUCUCCGGGCUUAACUCGGAACGGUCAACUGAUACUGCGCGGCUAGAGUGCAGAAGGGGCAACUGGAAUUCUCGGUGUAGCGGUGAAAUGCGUAGAUAUCGAGAGGAACACCUGCGGCGAAGGCGGGUUGCUGGGCCGACACUGACGCUGAUGCGCGAAAGCCAGGGGAGCGAACGGG